rnacentral:misc_RNA from 1 species
UAUCCGUAGGUGAACCUGCGGAAGGAUCAUUAAUGGGAAAUCAAAUCAAAACAAAUGUUCUGUUGCACUGGGUGUGCUGUGUGGUGGUGGUGUGAGACAUGGAGAUUCAAUCAUUGGAGAUUCAAUCAUUGGAGAUUCAAUCAUUGGAGAUUCAAUCAUUGGAGAUUCAAUCAUUCAAUCUCAAUCAUCGCCACACAACACAACUAUCUAUCACACUCGAUCAACAACAACACACUCACACACAACAGCAAACAACUUUUAACAAUGGAUCUCUUGGCUCUU